rnacentral:rRNA from 1 species
ACGGGACCGCCCACGACGACGAUGCGUAGGGGUUCUGAGAGGAAGGUCCCCCCACACUGGUACUGAGACACGGACCAGACUCCUACGGAAGGCAGCAG